UCCUACGAAAAAAAUAUCAUACGGUCGGAAAAUAAGGGAAUCAAUUAUCGGUGCAUCCUAGUCGGUCCAGCAUAAUUUCAAAUUAAUACUGGCCAGUUCUCUGUUCCGGUAUUGUCCGCCAUCUUAUGUGUCCUCUCAGGAGUACGAAGCUAUGAAAAAGGCACACGAAGCAAAGAAGGAAGCUGAGAGACAACAAAAUUUUAAUCCUCCUUCCUGGAGUGGGAAAGUUCCACAAACUGAAAUUCACGAACGUAUUGGAUAUAUGCCACAACAAAAUCAACAACCUAGACACUCGAGGCCUAAUAUAUAAAUAAUAUAAAUGAGAAUAUUUUCACUUAUUUAUUCUUGAAAAAAAAAUAAAUAAA